rnacentral:rRNA from 1 species
AGAACGAACGCUGGCGGCAUGCCUAAUACAUGCAAGUCGAACGAACACUUCGGUGUUAGUGGCGCACGGGUGCGUAACGCGUGGGAAUCUGCCCUUGGGUUCGGAAUAACAGUUGGAAACGACUGCUAAUACCGGAUGAUAUCGAAAGAUCAAAGAUUUAUCGCCCAGGGAUGAGCCCGCGUUAGGAUUAGCUAGGUUGGUGAGGUAAAGGCUCACCAAGGCGACGAUCCGUUAGCUGGUCUGAGAGGAUGAUCAGCCACACUGGGACUGAGACACGGCCCAGACUCCUACGGGAGGCAGCAGGUGGGGAAUAGUUGGACAAGUGGGGGACAACCCUGACUCCAGCCAUACCGCGUGUGUAGAAGAGGCCGUUGGUUAGUAAAGCUAC